CCAGGGCCUAGCCGGGGCCUCAUGAACCCCGGCGAAAAGCCGCUUCCCUGGCGGCCUGGCCCUGGAUCAAUUCAGGG
rnacentral:sRNA from 1 species